rnacentral:rRNA from 1 species
AUUGAACGCUGGCGGCAGGCCUAACACAUGCAAGUCGAACGGUAGCACAGAGAGCUUGCUCUCGGGUGACGAGUGGCGGACGGGUGAGUAAUGUCUGGGAAACUGCCCGAUGGAGGGGGAUAACUACUGGAAACGGUAGCUAAUACCGCAUAACGUCGCAAGACCAAAGUGGGGGACCUUCGGGCCUCACACCAUCGGAUGUGCCCAGAUGGGACUAGCUAGUAGGUGGGGUAAUGGCUCACCUAGGCGACGAUCCCUAGCUGGUCUGAGAGGGUGACCAGCCACACUGGAACUGAGACACGGUCCAGACUCCUACGGGAGGCAGCAGUGGGGAAUAUUGCACAAUGGGCGCAAGCCUGAUGCAGCCAUGCCGCGUGUAUGAAGAAGGCCUUCGGAUUGUAAAGUACUUUCAGCGGGGAGGAAGGCGGUGAAGUUAAUAGCUUCACCGACUGACGUUACCCGCAGAAGAAGCACCGGCUAACUCCGUGCCAGCAGCCGCCGUAA